rnacentral:lncRNA from 1 species
GUAAUUACAGUCAGCAGCAAGCCCUUGCAGUGGCAUAAGGCUGGUGAUUAGCAGGUCCCAUCGAACACCCACUGUCCAUCACCAGGGGAUGAGAGUUAGAUUAUUUUGCAGUGUUUAGAUUAUUUUGUUUGAUUGUUUUGCAGUGUUUGAUAGAUCAACCCCUGCACUUGAAGAGCUGGCAUCCAGAUGUACAAAAGUGCUCUUGUUCAUCACCUUAUAUGGACCUGCUAUCUGCCCCAAAGAGCAGGAAAUCGAUUUCUUUUGCAAUGAAAAUGCCUUCAAGCAGUCCUUUAUCACUUGCAAAAGAAGUACAAAAUGGGAAAGCAGAAGCCAGUGCGUUCAGAGUGAGGAAUUACUAACAGUAAUGUAACUUAAAGGCAUGACAGCAGGGAUAAAUUUGGAUUGUGGACUCCGGAGUUGAGUUUCAGGAAAUAGCAAUCUUUGUUUAAAGAUGCAACCCAGAAAUUCAUCACAAUGAGCGAUAUGAUUACAUAUGAACAUCAGCAUUUAGAGACUCCGGAGAGUGUUAAGGGUCUUUUGAACCAAGUACUGCAAAGACACAUUUAACAGACAGCUCUGCCCUGGAGUGUUCACAGUCUUGUGACUCAAGGCCGAUAAACACUGGGAUAAAGGAAGGAUUAAUAUGUUCAUUUUGCAAACAGGGAACUGAGCCACAGCAUGAUUAAGAGCUAAAUUUACAAAAAGAGUGCAGGCUUCCCCGUGCUCAGGUGCUUUGCAAGCUGGAGGCCGGCACAGAGCCAGCAAAAUUGCAGCUCCCGAGUGGAGCUGAUGGUGCAGGCAGAUGUCAUGCAUCCUCAGGGGAGCACUGAGGGCUUGGAUGGAUGGGUCGCGAUGCCAGCUGCGAUGAGCAGAUACGCUGCUAUUGUCUACCAUGAAUUAUUGCCUGGGGAUGUACAGGAGAUGGGGAGAUAUUUGACUGCAUCCCCUCUGAUUAUAGCAGUGAACAAGGCAAAUGGAAGGAAUACAGAUGAGAGAUGAAAUUGAAGCCAGUUUCCUCCAAGGCAUUUAAGCAGCUUUUCCAAACCUUUGAGGAUUUCAGCACUUCAGCAAAGGAAGGCAAGGAACUGUGAUUGUAGAUACAUCUAAGGACUGCAGUCCGUUGUUGUUGCCUUCUCUUUCACCCCUGCAGGCAAUGGGUUGACUGUCAUGGCAUGGUGGUUGAUGCACCAGCAGUGUUUGCGACCCACUGGAAGUGUCUGGUAGGAAUUCUUGGAUUUAGAACCUGCCCAAGGAAGGCAUGCUUCAUCUGCAAGAAGACAGUAAUACUAUAAUAGAGUGGAUCAUUGAACUGUUGCAGUGUUGGUACUGAGUAGAGAGGCUGGCUGGUGGAGUGAUAAAUAAAAUGUUCAUAGAAUCACA